rnacentral:lncRNA from 10 species
AGCAGACCCUUGCUUUAUUCACUCAAUAGUUUUUUCCAAAGGCUUUUUAAGAAGAGGACUUUGGAGUUGUAAAGAAUUUAGAUACGUGGAAAUGAGAGAAAGGCCUUCCAGGCAGAGGAAACAGGAUGAACAAAGUCUUGGCAGGAAGCAUGGUUAUGUCCCCUGAAGCCCUGGUCCACAUGAAGCUCUUCCUGCUUUUCUUCAGAGGAAGAUGCAGGAGCUGGUUAAUGGAAUGGAUUUUGCAUUCAGACAUCUCUUGGGGCUGCCUGUAGGUGGAUAUGUUCAUGGAAGACGGUGAAAAAGACAAGAAUAGGAUUUGCUGUAUAGAAUCACUAUAGUCACCAUCACACUGAGUAUCAACAACAUCUCUUGUUAUCCUCACAACUGUGCAAAACAGGUAAGGAGGAGAGUAUGACACCGUAUUAGUCCAUUCUCACACAGCUAUAAAAAAUACCUGAGACUAGGUAAUUUAUAAAGAAAAGAGGUUUAAUUGGCUCACAGUUCCACAGGCUGUACAGGAAGCAUGAUGCUGGCAUCUGCUUAGCUU